GCUAUUUGUAACACAUUUACUGACCAGAUUGCUGAUCACCUCUCUAAUAUAGAUGGGCCCCACAUAUACUGGUGAGGCCACCUCUAUUAGAGAGAUGGUCAGCAAUGUGGUUAGUAAAUGUGUUCCAAAUAGC
rnacentral:pre_miRNA from 1 species